AUGGAUUGUGAGGACAGUGCCAGCCUGUCUCUUCCCUACCAACCUGAUCCUGAACCUACGGUCACACUGGGUCCUGACUGUAACAGUGGAGCUCAGUGCACGUUGCCGCCUCUUGCACUGCUGCUGGAAGACUGCAUUAACCUGCUGGGGCCAAAUGCAGAGUCUAUGAAACUCGAGGAGGAUUGUGAGGACAGUCCCAGCCUGUGUCUUCCCCACCAACCUGAUCCCAAUUCGCCCCUCAAGAGGGUGACCGUACUGCUGAAGGACUGCAGGAAAUUACUGAGUCCUGGCUGUAACAGUGGAGCUCGGAGGAUACUGCUGCCUCUCAAGAGAGUUCGAGUACAGCUGGAGGACUGCAGGAAGAAGCUGGGGCCAAAUGCACAAUCUAUACAAGUUGAGGUUGUUGAUAGCAGAGGUUCAACUCAUCCAGAUUUUAUGUGGCCCAGAGGGUGA
rnacentral:lncRNA from 13 species